GGUCAAUCUUGUAAUGAGAUUGCCAAGAGGGAAUCACGUGCAAAUCGUGAGCUGUCGCGCAACUGUAAAAAACGCCGCUGACGGGCAGAAAAAAAAGUCAUUGGGGGCACUGCUCCUGAGAAGACUUCUGCCAAGAGGCCACAAGCCAGGAGACCUGCCCCAGAC
rnacentral:ncRNA from 1 species